AAGACAACUUUACGGAGUUGACGAUUGACGGAGCGAAGCGACGUCAAAGCGUUCAUUAAAGUCGAGUUGGCUUAGGGAUACGUUCGUUGGGUAGGGGAGCGUUCUGUAAGCCGUUGAAGGUGGCCUGUGAGGGUUGCUGGAGGUAUCAGAAGUGCGAAUGCUGACAUAAGUAACGAUAAAGCGGGUGAAAAGCCCGCUCGCCGGAAGACCAAGGGUUCCUGUCCAACGUUAAUCGGGGCAGGGUGAGUCGACCCCUAAGGCGAGGCCGAAAGGCGUAGUCGAUGGGAAACGGGUUAAUAUUCCCGUACUUGGUGUUACUGCGAAGGGGGGACGGAGAAGGCUAUGUUGGCCGGGCGACGGUUGUCCCGGUUUAAGCGUGUAGGUGUGUGUUCCAGGUAAAUCCGGUUCACUUUAACACUGAGGCGUGACGACGAGGCACUACGGUGCUGAAGCAACAAAUGCCCUGCUUCCAGGAAAAGCCUCUAAGCAUCAGGUAACAUCAAAUCGUACCCCAAACCGACACAGGUGGUCAGGUAGAGAAUACCAAGGCGCUUGAGAGAACUCGGGUGAAGGAACUAGGCAAAAUGGUGCCGUAACUUCGGGAGAAGGCACGCUGACACGUAGGUGAAGUGAUUUACUCAUGGAGCUGAA
rnacentral:rRNA from 1 species